rnacentral:lncRNA from 1 species
GGGAGCUGUGGGCAAGCGAGGAUAUAGUCAGCGCCCAGGGAACUCGUACCAUGGGAAGUUGGGCCUCUGGUGAUCGCGGAUGGGUGGCAAUUUCUCGCCGAGGUUGAUCUCCGCCGCAAAACCAAACCUCGACGUGGUCAGAUCUUCUACCACACCAAUCUCCGGUAAAUCUUUGACCGUUGUGUUGACCUCGUUCUCCUCCAUGCGUGGCACUAAUUAGGGUAGGUUUUGGUGCACUGGCGCGACGGAGGGCAGGGACUCCGGCGGGUCAUGGCCACGUCAGUGAGCGGCGCCGUCGCGCGUCUGGUACAAGUGAAGAAGAUGGCGCUGCUCCGUCCGAUCCGAUCUAUGCGGUCUGGAGUGCUCGGACAUAGCGCUUCGAUUUUAUUAAAGCUUGGCCGUGCGAUCUUGAUCGGGUGGCCGAGGAUUGGAUUAAGCGUUGGCGUAACGUUGUUCGUCGAUCUCUGAUCUGGCGGUAGUGGGUUCGUACCGGUUAUAAAACGGAUGGUUUAAUCUUGGCGGUCCAAUACAGAUCGAACGGCUCUGGUUGCUUCUUACCUCUUCGUCGUUGGUUUGUUUUCUUAAGAGCCCCUGGAGAUCUUAAGAAUCUACCCGUAGUACUACUCAGGUAUAGCUGUGUCUGGGAAAACUUAUAUCUUGGCCCCUGUCCUUUCUGGAAUUUGACGUCCAGUCCAGUGAACCAAGAAAAUAGUAAAAAUAAUAUAGUAAAUAAUUUUUAGUACAUAAAUAAACCCAGAAACUCAAUAAAUUCAUAGCAAAUUUAUAUUAAAUUCUUUUUUGUCCGUUCCAGUUCCUAUAAUUUUGUAUUAAUAUUUUAUAUUACUUAGUAGCACUGUUUUAUCAUGAAAACCCUACUAGAAUUGAUUACUCAAUUAAUUUUGUAGCAAACACAUACGAACUUCGAAAAUCCAUAACCUCUUCGUUUUAAAUCCGAUUUAACCCGUUCCAGUUGUGUUAGCUUCUUAUAAAUAUUUACUAUGCAGUAACAACAUUGAUUAUACCAUGUAUCAUACUUUUAUAAUUAGAUAUUUAUUUAUUCUAUGAUAAUUGGAUUAAUCUAUGUCUAUUGGAUUAACUUCUGAUCUUAUGGUUAUAAUUUGACUAGAUGACCUUUGGUCAAGUAAUGACUUAGAUUAAAAUUGGGUUAACUAAUUAUAAGAUAUUCUCUCAUAUGAUGUAUACUAACCAAUUUAUAUUAUAGUUUAAUAUUUUAAUCACAUAGAUCUUCUAUAAAAUCAUAACUCCUUAAUCGUGACUCCGAUUUUAGUAAUUCUUGUUCCUACGAUCUCGUAGCGACACGUAGAUUAUUAUAACACAGUUUAUUCUUAUGUUUGGUGUGAUGUUAAUUUUUCCUAUACAUGUUUGUUUGUAUUGCUACGACUAG